GGAAACUUACCCAAGAGGCUCAAGGGGACACACUGCUAAUGUGUUAGACAAAGAUUUUUUGUGCAUGGGUUCGAAUCCCGUAGUUUCCG
rnacentral:tRNA from 1 species